rnacentral:lncRNA from 1 species
AAUACAGUGAUGCAUCAUCUUUAAUUUUACUUGGAGCGGUCAAUCCCAUCUUAACUUGCACUCAGACAUUACAAGUACUUGACUGUACCCAAAAAUCUUUCAUCAUCGAAUUAAAAAUUUGGAUAGUCCGACAUCACAGUACAGUGAGUUAUUUGCAAGUCACCGAGGCAGCCUCAAGUCAGAGGGACACUUAUACCCAUAUCCCAUC